rnacentral:rRNA from 1 species
UACGUAGGGGGCCAGCGUUGUCCGGAUUCAUUGGGCGUAAAGAGCGUGUAGGCGGCCAGGUAGGUCCGACGUGAAAACUGGAGGCUCAACCUCCAGCUGUCGUCGGAAACCCUCUGGCUAGAGUCCGGAAGAGGAGAGCGGAAUUCCUGGUGUAGCGGUGAAAUGCGCAGAUAUCAGGAAGAACACCGAUGGCGAAGGCAGCUCUCUGGGACGGUACUGACGCUGAGACGCGAAAGCGUGGGGAGCGAACAGGAUUAGAUACCCUCGUAGUCC